rnacentral:rRNA from 1 species
GGAUGUGAANUCCCCGGGCUCAACCUGGGAACUGCGUUNUGAACUGGGUAGCUAGAGUAUGUCAGAGGGGGGUAGAAUUCCACGUGUAGCAGUGAAAUGCGUAGAGAUGUGGAGGAAUACCGAUGGCGAAGGCAGCCCCCUGGGAUAAUACUGACGUUCAUGCUCGAAAGCGUGGGUAGCAAACAGGAUUAGAUACCCUGGUAGUCCACGCCCUAAACGAUGUCGAUUAGCUGUUGGGCAGCUUGACUGCUUAGUAGCGUAGCUAACGCGUGAAAUCGACCGUCUGGGGAGUACGGUCGCAAGAUUAAAACUCAAAGGAAUUGACGGGGACCCGCACAAGCGGUGGAUGAUGUGGAUUAAUUCGAUGCAACGCGAAGAACCUUACCUGGUCUUGACAUGUACGGAACCUUCCAGAGACGGAAGGGUGCCUUCGGGAGCCGUAACACAGGUGCUGCAUGGCUGUCGUCAGCUCGUGUCGUGAGAUGUUGGGUUAAGUCCCGCAACGAGCGCAACCCUUGUCAUUAGUUGCCAUCAUUCAGUUGGGCACUCUAAUGAGACUGCCGGUGACAAACCGGAGGAAGGUGGGGAUGACGUCAAGUCCUCAUGGCCCUUAUGACCAGGGCUUCACACGUCAUACAAUGGUCGGUACAAAGGGUAGCCAAGCCGCGAGGCGGAGCCAAUCUCAUAAAACCGAUCGUAGUCCGGAUUGCACUCUGCAACUCGAGUGCAUGAAGUCGGAAUCGCUAGUAAUCGCAGGUCAGCAUACUGCGGUGAAUACGUUCCCGGGUCUUGUACACACCGCCCGUCACACCAUGGGAGUGGGGGAUACCAGAAG